rnacentral:rRNA from 1 species
AAGUCAGGCAACGAGCCGAGACCCACGCCCACAGUUGCCAGCGUACUCUCUGGAGUGACGGGUACACUGUGGGACCGCCGCUGCUAAAGCGGAGGAAGGAAUGGGCAACGGUAGGUCAGUAUGCCCCGAAUAUCCCGGGCUACACGCGAGCUACAAUGGUUGGUACAAUGGGUAUCUACCCGAAAGGGACGGGAAUCUCCUAAACCAAUCUUAGUUCGGAUUGAGGGCUGCAACUCGCCCUCAUGAAGCUGGAAUCCGUAGUAAUCGCGUUUCAACAGAACGCGGUGAAUACGUCCCUGCUCCUU